rnacentral:rRNA from 1 species
CGAAAUGCGAUACGUAAUGUGAAUUGCAGAAUUCCGUGAAUCAUCGAAUCUUUGAACGCACAUUGCA